AACGAACGCUGGCGGCAGGCUUAACACAUGCAAGUCGAACGCAUCGCAAGAUGAGUGGCAGACGGGUGAGUAACACGUGGGAACAUACCCUUUGGUGCGGAACAACAGCUGGAAACGGCUGCUAAUACCGCAUGCGCCCUACGGGGAAGAUUUAUCGCCGAAGGAUUGGCCCGCGUCUGAUUAGCUAGUUGGUGAGGUAAUGGCUCACCAAGGCGACGAUCAGUAGCUGGUCUGAGAGGAUGAUCAGCCACACUGGGACUGAGGACACGGCCCAGACUCCUACGGGAGGCAGCAGUGGGGAAUAUUGGACAAUGGGCGCAAGCCUGAUCCAGCCAUGCCGCGUGAGUGAUGAAGGCCCUAGGGUUGUAAAGCUCUUUCAGCGAGGAGGAUAAUGACGUUACUCGCAGAAGAAGCCCCGGCUAACUUCGUGCCAGCAG
rnacentral:rRNA from 1 species